GUGCAGCUUAAGAAGAAAUUUCAGGGCUUCCAUUUACUAAAUUUAUCAAAGUUCAUGUAUGAGGACAAUAUUUCUUCGCGUAUUCAUAUUUUUUAGGAGUUUGCAACAUCAAAAGUUCGAAGCAAGGCAAUCGAUCAACAGGGCUCAGUCACUCAGUACUAUGCUUAGUACUUUUUUAAAUAUCUAUCGGGAAGUCUGGCUGGGAGAAUGGAAGAAAUUCAGACGCUCAAAUGACUUCUUUUACAAUAACGUGGAGAGGAAAGGAAACACACAAAAAGAUGAUGCGAAUAGCAGUGUGUCAUAUGAAUCUCAAUUUUUUGAACAAGAAAAUGAAUUUGGGGAUUUGAAUGAACAAAGUGAAGAUAUUGCUGAAAAUUAUGACAAGCACCAAGAGUUAACCACCAAAACACAGGACUCUGAAGAUAUCUUUACCAAGCAAUCUAUCUCUAUUAUUACAGAGGAACCCAAACAACCAUGUCAACAUAGUCAAAGUCAUUUGUCACCCACUGGCCACUAUACUGGGCUAUUGUUACAGUUUGACUUUGCAUCAAAUGUAUCACAUCAGCAAUCCUUUGUUGUUCAUGAUUAUAAUGCAAACAAAAGAACAAUUAUGCAUAAUUCAUUUGUAUUUGUACAUCGAUAUCCCCACCUAUUGCUUGAUGGCUAUGGUUGGAUAUUGUGCUGCUCAUGUGAUGCAAAUAGAAAGCAAUUUGUUGAUGCCCUACCUAAUAAUAUACAAUUAGAUCCUCAAAAAGAUAUACCAUAUCCUAGUUGCAUACACAUAUUAGCAAUGGAAAAAUAUCUGGUUGUGUAUGAUAGAAAGUUUGGUAUUGAAGCCAAAGAUUUUAUUGAAAAAAAAUCCACAUCCAUGAUGCAGUCUGUUUUCAGUGAUCAUUCCUACCAUGAGAUGCAACCUGAAGAAGCAAUGAGAAUGAUGCAAGCGAUUUUACUGAUCUUCCUGAAAAAAAUGGUCAUAAAAUUUUGGCGCCAUCUGAAAGUGGUAUUUGUUCUUGUGGUGCAGAGUGGGAUAAACGUUCUAUUCAAGAUGAAUGGUUGUACGUAGACUUGUGUACUUUUGUUCAAUCCAUGAUGUGAAGGUGUAUUGUAGACCUUGCUCCUCUUGUGCUACGAAAAAGCAUUAUGAUGGCAUUGAAAACAGGAUUGUAUGGUUUGGAUCAUAUGCAAUAUCUCAUGCCGAUCUAAAAGAUUACAUUCGGCUUUUCAUAACGUCGAGUUUACCUAUGUACAAAUAUUAUGUUGCAUAUGUACAAAGGCAAGUGUCUUCGGGUAAUUUGAAUUUCCCAAAGGAAAUAACUUGCGCCAAGUUUCGUCUCGCUAUCAUUGCCAUGAUACGGUUGCUUGAUAUUGAUUUUCACAAUGGGUUUUUUUGUGAAUUAUGUGGAAGAAUUCCCCCAGAAGGUGGUGAUGGAUGGAACAACUCUUGGAAUACAGAAAACUUUCUUACCAAAUAAUUUAAGAGAGUCUGAUACUGGAUUGCUAGAUGGAAGA